GAAGGAGAAGGAGAGGAGAAGGAGAAGGAGAAGAAGGAAAGAAGGAAGGAAGGAUUCGAUUUGGGGCUGCCUGCAUCCAGAGAUAAGCCAUUGACGCUCUGUGGAUGAUGUCUACAGUUGUAACUGUGAUAUUGAUGGUCUAGGGCAUGAUGUGGCUGAGGUUCUUUCCGAUAUCAUGGGCCCAGAGGUCAGUAUUGUAGUUAUGACUAUGGCUCUAACGGUCUAGGGCACGGUGGGCCUGGAGCCUAGUGGUCAGAGGAUGUACGUGGUAUGAUGUGCGAUAAGUGGUAAUGAUUGUAAAAUCGAUGGUCUGAGGCAUGGUUUGGCAGAGGUGCAUUUCCGAUACCGUUGGCUCAGAGAUGGUGGAACCGGUGCUGAGACAGGAUUGGACAUCAGCAACUGUUGUGAGGCUUGUGUCUAAGAGACACCAGGAUGCUUUCUUCUUUCUUGAUGUGUA